rnacentral:lncRNA from 15 species
AUGUACUGUCUUAUGCAUCUCAUUUAAUAAUCUUCACUCUCAAUGAUGAUGUUUGUGAUGUGAAACAGGGUUAUAGUGAAUUACACUGCACUCAUUAAAGUCUGUGUAAAGCAAAUUCAGUGAUCUCUCUCUAAACACAUUAUACAUGGCAUAAAAUAGUUGUUGAAAACAUUAUAAAAGACUGUGAACUAUGUACUGAAUUGUGGUGUUUCACUGUUUUCCUCCGUUCCACCUGUUUGGGGUUCAGGAUUUUUUUUGGGAGGUGGGUAAAAAUAUGGCUCAAUGACGCACUGGGGCCGUACUUAGCAUAACCCCGCUUCAACGGUAUAAAAAUAUACUGCACGCUAGCAUUAGCAGUUCUCCCGCUCGAGUUAUUACAAUCUUUACCACCUUUUAUUAUCAGCCACAACCUUUGUUAGCCAGCUAAAGUAUGCCAUCAACAUCCCGGAAGUGCAUCUUUCGAGGAAUGUGAGAAAUUCCAUUUAAAUUUCCAAAGGAUGAUGCUCUGAGGAAGAGCUGGAUGGAUUUUGUGAAGAGCUACGUUGUCAUUCCGGUUCCAACUGGACAUCAUCCCCCCGUCCCACUGUCACCUCUGGCGCCAAGUAACAGGACGCCAGAAGAUGAUUCAUCAUCAACCUGCAUUCUGCCUCAUAUCAUUUUGGCUGUAUGGAUGGACCAGGACAUGGACAGCAGUUUUUCUUUCUGCAUAUUUGUGCAAAUGCACUGAAUGACUCAUCUUCUAUUGUUUGCUUGUGUCAUUGUCAGUGGUGGGUGAAACUGUAAUUCCACUCCAAUUACCCAAAUUUAAAUGGUUUACAUUGGCCCAAUACAGUUCAGUCUGUUGAUCAGUAAUUAUUCAUUAAGCUUGGUUACCAUUUACAUCCGUGUGGUUCUUCUUCUACUGAAUCCUACUGUCUAUUAGCCAAGGUAAUAAGUGUAACUUUCAGGUAGGAAUGCCACUUUUUGCUGCUCUCUGGUGGUGGACAGAUACAGAUAUAUUGGAUGGCCUAUAGCAACACUAAAAUAAAAUAUGUAGCUGACAGCUGUGUGCAUGAAUAAGAGAAUUAAAGCUGAAUGUAAGAAGUUGCCUUACUUAGUAACUAAUUACUUUUAUUUAAAUGAAAGCAGGAGGGUGACAACUUCAAACCGACAGACAUCAUCAGUGUUUGUUCCACCUCUGUUAACUAACAGCCUAUAAGCACCCAGAUGCCAUGGUUAUUGGUCUUUGCUAUUGUAUGUGUUCAAAUUUAUUUACUGCUGGAUGUUCAUCUCCCUACAUAUGUACUGCUUAGUGCUUUAGCAAAUGUGGUGUUCACUGAUUGUGACUGGUGGAAAUUGCUGCUCUCCUUUGUUUAAAUAUAAAAGCACCACAUGAAUGCAAGCUGCCUAUUAUUAGCACAGAGAUUCUUUAUUAUUAGUCUAACAUCCUUACACUGUGUUUGUCUAAAUAUUAAAAGCAAACCGGUUUCAGUGCCCAUUGAUCCUGUUGAUACUGUAAGAUAGUGAACCUUCCCAUAAAUUAUUCUUUAUAUGGAUUCCUGUACAACUGCAAACUGUGUGACUACAGAUGUCAACAAUGUGAGUUUUUAAUUUUCCAUAUAUGGGUUAGGGUUACAAUACUACAGUCAAGUUACAGCUUAUUCUGUUGCUCAGCUUGUGUGCUGCAGUGAUCACAGACCUGUAGGUAUGGGACGUUCAGUGUAGUCACAUUAAUAUUGAUAAUUGCAGAAGUUUUUGCACCUAUAUAUUUGGCCAUAUACCACAAAACUGUAACAACUUUUAUAAUGUGAACAUCUAUGGAUACCAGCAACUGACAGAUAAAUGAUCAAGUUCUGAUUCAUAUUCUGAUAUAUAUAUCAGCCAGUUUCAUAUUUUAUCAGCAUAUGUCUACAGUGCUAAUUUCCCACAGUGGUUGUAUAACACAAAGCUAGCUGUAGUCCCUUUAUGCUACACUGUAAAACCAGAUAAAUUCAUUUAACUCAAAACAUUGUUGAAACUGAUUACAUCAAAAUCUUUAAGUAACACAAACUCCGAUUUUUAGGUUAAAAAAGACUUUUGAUUGAGCCACUUUAAUUAGUCAUUUUAAGUGGCACUACCUUAGUUUUGUAAGUUACAGAAACUUUACUGAAUUAAUUACUUUUUGUUUUCACAGUCAAAAUAAAAAUUACAAAAUUAAAUAAACC